ACAUCGACACGUAUGAAUGAGGAGAGAGAUAGAGACGGAGAGGAGUGAGAAAGAGAAGUUCCAGCGAGAGAAUGGUUAAACUCCAUCUUCCCUCUUAUCUCUGUCUUGUGGUUGAGAGAGAGAGAGAGAGAGAGAGAGAGAGAGAGAAGAAGCAGAAAUGGAGAAGGCUCUGACAAAAGUAGGUAGCAUCAAAGCUAGUACAUUCUGGGCCCCCAACAAAGCCAAACAAGAGAUCUCCAACAUUACCCAGGACCUCUCUUCUUCCUACCUUUUGCUAAAUAGCACUCUAGGAAUGGGCGCAAUCUCAACCCCGACUCAACGUCUCAGAGCAACACCAACCACAGCAAUAUACAAGUCCGUCUACAAGAAACCGGUUGCUGAUUGCAGUAUUUUGUCAUCGAAGAAGAACUCGUUUCUCUUUGGCCAAUUCACUGCUAGACACUUUCGGGGAUUCCAUUCAAUUCAUGGCAUUAGAAAGCAUGCCGGUGGUCGUGUGUUUUCACCAACAUGUGUCCUCCCACUGACUGAGGGGAAUGUUGAGAAGGUGUUGGAUGAAGUGCGACCGGGCCUAAUGGCGGAUGGAGGGAAUGUGGCUCUGCAUGAAAUUGAUGGUCUUGUUGUGGUACUAAAGCUGCAAGGAGCAUGUGGUUCUUGUCCAAGUUCAACUAUGACACUCAAAAUGGGAAUCGAAACUCGGCUCCGAGAUAAGAUCCCAGAAAUUCAAGAAGUGGAGCAAAUUUUGGACGCCGAGACUGGCCUUGAGCUGAAUGAGGAGAAUGUCGAAAAGGUGUUCUCUGUCAGCUGCAGUGACAUUCAUGGCCUCAAGAGACUUAUGCCGAAAAAGAAUAGAUAGCAAACUUUCAUGGCCAGAGACGCAAAAUUGUAACUGAUUUAUGUUCCCCUUUGCUCUGAUUGGAACCUUGAAUUUUUGGAGCGAUUUGUAGUGGGAAGUGAUUUAUCCGAGGCAACAAACUGCAUGGUUGGAGUGAUUGUCCUAUAUCGGUAAUUGCUGCAGAAAUCACUAAUUGCUGCCCGACUAAGGGAUGGAGUGAUUGUCCUAUAUCGGUAAGUGGAUGAAUUCUUUGGUCAUUGUUGUUCAGCCACCGCUAUGUGGACAGUGGCACUAGCCCUCAGGGAUUCGUGGAAUUACACGUACGCCCUCAGGGAUUCGAUGGUAGUGAUGGGCUGUUUCUCGGCUAGGGCUUUUGACGGACAAGUCGGCACAACACCGAUGGCUACCUAGUAGCGUAGACUCUAGUGCAGCUUGUUUGUUUAUCUGCGAUUACAAUUUACAUCGGUGUCCAGUUUUUCAAAAAAAAUGCUUUUGGUGACCCAUUUUAUGACUAUAUAUGUGAUAUUAUAAAGCAUAUUAAAAACAAUAAUGUGUUGAUUAUUAGGAUAAAGACCGGGGGCAGAUGGUACAAGGAUUCUUAUACUAAGAUCCUAAUUAUUUGUUUGGAUGGAGAUUUCAAAAUUUUUGGGUUUGGUUCUUUGGGGUAUUGUGUGGAGAGAAAUUAGGUAAUAAUUGGACUAUUGGAGAUAGGGAUAAUGAGUGGAGAUAGGGAUAAUGAGAAUAAUGAUUGCAGAUAGGGAUAAUGAGUAGAGAAAGAAAUGAGAGUAAUGAUUGAAAGUAGAGUAAUGAAUAUUUUUUGAGUUGGAAAUUAUUUUUCAAAAAGCCAUCCAAACAAGGCGCAUUCAGAUGAUUAUAUGGUAUGUUUUGGAAAAGUGAUAAAAUCAUAUAUAUGAAUCAUGCAGCCAGGUUUUGUUUUGGCAAAAUUAGUCGGUCCUGGGCAAUACUUUACAUUAGUACUUUGUUGUGCAUAUUAUAAUCUAUCCAUCUAUCUAUCUAUCAAUAUCCUAUACAAUUGUAGUGGGGGCUCUCCAACCUUCAAAUCUCGAAUCCUAAAUUUUCAGAAUUUAGAAUUUUUAAAACCUAAAUAAUACUGGGCAGUUAUAUGUUUUAAUGGGAGAAGAGGGAUGGGGAUGGACGUGGGGUGGAGUAAAUGGAGAUCACAUUUAUUACUUCUUUUCUUUUCUUUUUUCUUUUAUGUUUUAUGUUUUAUGACUUUUUUGUUGUAUUUUCUUUUUUAAUUGGUCAAUGAUAUAUUUGUGUCCCAUUCGAUAUAUGAAACAAUGAAUAAAUUUCAACCCAACGUUUUUUUCGCUGCCCCGUGUAUGGAACGGGACACAAUGCUAAUCAUCAUUAAAUAUCGUAUGCAAAUAUAUUUGAGCCAAAAAACCUCUAAUCUCCCAAUCCUAAUUUUUUAGAUUUUUGAAUUUUUUUUUACCAAUAAAAAAACUCCACGUUCUCUUAUUCCACCCACAUAUCAAUAACUGAAUUCAUAGUCCUCUCAAUUCCCAAAUGGAAAGAAAAAAAGCAAAAAAAAAAAAAUACUCCCAUGUCUAUACUCCCAGUCCCA